rnacentral:lncRNA from 1 species
UCGGGGGCAGGCUUCGGCAGCCGAAAGCUUGCCUCCACAGGCAGGUUCGGCGGCCGAAAGUCCCUUCGGCUGUCGAACCUGAGUUUCUCCCAAAGUGGCAGAAACUCGACUCUUAUGCACAUUUGCCUCCCAAAACCUUCAAUCAUGCAUACAACUCAACCAAAACAUGCAUAAACACAUACAUAAGCUCCUAGGGGCUUCAAACUAUC